UACGAAGGGGGCUAGCGUUGCUCGGAAUCACUGGGCGUAAAGCGCACGUAGGCGGAUUGUUAAGUCAGGGGUGAAAUCCUGGAGCUCAACUCCAGAACUGCCUUUGAUACUGGCAUUCUCGAGUCCGGAAGAGGUGAGUGGAAUUCCGAGUGUAGAGGUGAAAUUCGUAGAUAUUCGGAGGAACACCAGUGGCGAAGGCGGCUCACUGGUCCGGAACUGACGCUGAGGUGCGAAAGCGUGGGGAGCAAACAGGG
rnacentral:rRNA from 1 species